UCUUAUGGAUAAGUAAAGAGAGUAUUUCUUGAGAUGGGAUCUACUCUUGGUAAAGAUGCUGUGAA
rnacentral:pre_miRNA from 1 species